UACAAACACACACCUCAGGUUGCCCUAAUCAACCACACACACACACACACACACAGUGAGACGUUUUCCUGCAUGGCUGCUUGUUCACUCAUUACAGGUGGACUUACGACGACUCUGAGCAGAUUGAAACCCCAUGUCAGCUGCACGCAUGAAGAUGCUUUUCAAACAGAAAUUCCUCCUCUUGCUGAUAUCUGUCAUGCUAGCAUGUCUGUUCAUAAGCGGACUGUUGUUUCUGUACGCCGAGGAUGACACCUCGUUCAUGCGGCGAUUCGAUAGAUCUGUUGAGCCGUUUUUAACUGCAAAAACACAACUUUCAAAGGACGUGUUCGCAUGGUGGGGGAAAUUGCAGUUUGACAGGCGGAACUUCACUUCCUACCAAAGAGCAGUGGACAGCCUGCUGAAGACGUUUCCAUCCAUCUCUAAGGUUGCUGAGGUCAGCCUGACUGACCGCCGCGGGAUUUGCGCGGUGGUGGGCAAUUCUGUUAAUCUGAAGGGCUCUCGUUACGGACGUCUGAUAGAUGCUCAUGAUGUGGUUGUCAGAAUGAACUAUGCUCCUACCAAAGGAUAUGAAGAAGAUGUGGGGACUAAAACGAGCCAUCAUAUCGUGUACCCAGAGAGCGCCCCGGACAUGGAUGACUCCAUUCAUCUUGUGCUGUUACCUUUCAAGAUCCUGGACUUGGAGUGGCUGCAACAGGCCUUCACCACUGGAUUUAAAGGAAUGUCAUACAAACCUGUGAGAUCCACCAUGCGAGCAAACAAGAGUUUGGUGAUGGUGGUCAAUCCGGGCUUCAUUGCCUACGUUAACCGAGCGUGGCUGCGAACGAGCCGCGGGUAUCCCUCCACUGGCUUUUUGGCCGUGAUUCUCGCCCUGCACAUGUGUGACGAGGUCCACGUGUUUGGUUACGGAGCAGAUAGAAAUGGGAACUGGAGUCAUUACUGGGAAAAACUGAAAGAUCCUAACUUUAAAACUGGAUUACAUUAUGGAGAACAUGAGUACCAUGUGCUACAAAAGCUGGCAGAGCUUCAACAACUUAAGUUUUUUAAAGGACGUUUUUGAAAAAAAACUAUUAAAUUUUGUUGCCAUAAUCUUAUAGUACCAAAUGAGUGACUACACGGGAGCAAAAUUCCAUUGUAUCCACUGGCAAUAGCAUACACGCCUGCUUAUUGCUGACGUAUCAACCAAUCAGGAGUGCGGAAGCUCUGAUUGGCCGAGAGCAAAGCAGCUGAUUGACCGAGUCACAAAGUCAAAUGAGCAAAAACAAGAGAAAUAUAAUUAGCGUUAUAUUGUCGUCCCUCGCCAUAUCACACUUCGAUUACCGCCCCCUCACGAUAUUGUGGUUUUCAGAAAUUUGUAAAUAAUCGCUGUUGGUCUGUUAGUGGUAAUGUACUGGUGAUGUAAAGCGAUAUGUAGUAUAAUUCAGGUCAAUAUGCGGCACAAACCGUGGAAACAUUUACUUACAUUACCUUAAUAACGCUGCAUGAAGUCAUAAAGUCAGCCAUGGCAUGUCCAACAUGAAAAAAGUUCUCCUUCCAUGCCAUGUUGGCUUGCUGGCUGGCGGCUAGCAAAAAACGGCUGAUCCGGAUGUUAAUGAGAUCACGUGACAGUUGGUGUUGGCUUGUUUGGUGGAGCUACUUCCUCCAACCAGUACCUUUUAUGCUUUCUGAUCAUUAUAUUAUCAAUUUGACAAAAAUUUAUAUUAUUUAUUAUGUAUUAUCCAAUUUAACUGUUGCUUUUUAUAUUUUCAUUAGUUUCAUUCACAUUUUUGUUAUUAGUCACAUAUCAGUCAACAUUUUAAUUUCAAAAUAAGGGAAAUUUAUUCCUUUUUUAAAAAUCAGUAACAUACCGUAUCCUGAAAUGGCAAAUAUAUGCAACAUUUUAUUUUAUUUCUCAAAUAGUACUGAUAUCCAAAGUGAGAUCUUGUGAAUAAUUUUAUACAUUUGCACAGUAUAUUUUGUAUUUUACUAUACUUUUAUAGGCUAACGGUCUACACAAGUGGACGUUUGUGGAAGAUGUUCUCACUCUCAAUUGGCAAUAUCCAAGCCUGAGGUCCACUUGGAAGGACCAGGCUGGUAGUCAUCAUGGGUGGAAGUCUUUCUGAAUGCCCAGCAAAGGUGUACAUCAGCACAAUGGGAAAACCAUGAAAACUCGAAUAGGCUCCAGGAGACACCCCCACGACCUUAGUGAGGAUGAGCAGCAUAGAAAUUGGAUGCAUGGACACACUGGAAUGCAAAACAGUGCCAUCUGCUGGCCAGAGUUGCCUUUGCUAGUUCUUUUGAUGAUUUUUCAGCAAAGGUGUAAUCCACUAGUCGUCCAUUUUUGUGCCUCAGAGGUACACGUUUGUGCUGGCAGCUCCAUGGUGCAACUAUCUUCAAAACCAGCCCUUGGAAUCACGGAAUGACCUGUAUUAGGAAUAAUCUCAUGCUGGUUGCAUUUCAAAUAUUGAACAUUUAGUCCAUUUCAUAACCGUUAAGAGAUUUAUUUGGAAUAUUUAUGAUAAUUAAAGCUUAAUACAACUUUGCAGGGCUAUGUGAUCCUGUGCACCUUUUUUGUCUUUCUCCACCUUCAUUACUCGGACUGCCACUAAACAAAAGAAACUCAAUGCUGCCACAACCCCUCCUCCUUACACGUCUCUCUUCUCUUUGUUUCGGGACUUAAAUUGGCCAGGAUGAGCAUGGAUGCACCAAUGAGCAGACACUACUCAGGCUUGUCAUGUCUGUUGGCCGGAUGAUACAAAAACAGCAUGCAGAUUUCCAUACAAUUUUGUGGAGAGACGGGUAGCAUUUUCUUACUUCAUACCGGCCCAUGAAGGAAGGGAAAAUCCUCUGAGGGCUCGACAAGGACGGCACGGCAGCGAGCACAGCAGCAGGCCAAAGAUGUCUCCUACUGCAAAAGCGCACAAAAACAGAUGGUCAAAAACAGGAGACAUGAACAUUGAAGUGAACCAGGGAUGCCGUCAAGGAUGAGGCGAUGAUGAUUUCACGGCAUCAAGGAUGAUGGGUAACACACAGGG